rnacentral:lncRNA from 10 species
AAGAGCGGAAAUGUCAAACGUGGAGAGCCUAAAGAUAGUAAUGAGCAGCUUGAGUCUUAAGUUUUUGAAUACACCGAUGGAAGGUGACAAAGAUUCUUUGCUUGGCCAAACUUUAGUCAGACUCCUCAACCUUCUCGUAGGUUUAUCUGUGCAUUUCCUUGGAAAAUCCAGUUAGAACCCUCUACCCUCAAUAUCUGAUCAGGUUCCUCAUCCUCUACCAUCCAAGGUGAUGUCUGAUCACCUUGACCUAUUUUCAGCAAGAAACCCCUUUACUCCUGAAGUUCCUUCUUAGUAAUUUUUUAUCCAGUGACCCCA